ACAUCGACAGGUCGUACGCACUGGCCCAACUGAUUGAUGGUGCUUGCACCUGAUUGACGAUGGAUCACCAGUGAGUGGCGGACGGGUGAGUAACACGUAGGUAACCUGCCCCGGAGCGGGGGAUAACAUUUGGAAACAGAUGCUAAUACCGCAUAACAACAAAAGCCACAUGGCUUUUGUUUGAAAGAUGGCUUUGGCUAUCACUCUGGGAUGGACCUGCGGUGCAUUAGCUAGUUGGUAAGGUAACGGCUUACCAAGGCGAUGAUGCAUAGCCGAGUUGAGAGACUGAUCGGCCACAAUGGAACUGAGACACGGUCCAUACUCCUACGGGAGGCAGCAGUAGGGAAUCUUCCACAAUGGGCGCAAGCCUGAUGGAGCAACACCGCGUGAGUGAAGAAGGGUUUCGGCUCGUAAAGCUCUGUUGUUGGAGAAGAACGUGCGUGAGAGUAACUGUUCACGCAGUGACGGUAUCCAACCAGAAAGUCACGGCUAACUACGUGCCAGCAGCCGCGGUAAUACGUAGGUGGCAAGCGUUAUCCGGAUUUAUUGGGCGUAAAGCGAGCGCAGGCGGUUGCUUAGGUCUGAUGUGAAAGCCUUCGGCUUAACCGAAGAAGUGCAUCGGAAACCGGGCGACUUGAGUGCAGAAGAGGACAGUGGAACUCCAUGUGUAGCGGUGGAAUGCGUAGAUAUAUGGAAGAACACCAGUGGCGAAGGCGGCUGUCUGGUCUGCAACUGACGCUGAGGCUCGAAAGCAUGGGUAGCGAACAGGAUUAGAUACCCUGGUAGUCCAUGCCGUAAACGAUGAGUGCUAGGUGUUGGAGGGUUUCCGCCCUUCAGUGCCGGAGCUAACGCAUUAAGCACUCCGCCUGGGGAGUACGACCGCAAGGUUGAAACUCAAAGGAAUUGACGGGGGCCCGCACAAGCGGUGGAGCAUGUGGUUUAAUUCGAAGCUACGCGAAGAACCUUACCAGGUCUUGACAUCUUGCGCUAACCUUAGAGAUAAGGCGUUCCCUUCGGGGACGCAAUGACAGGUGGUGCAUGGUCGUCGUCAGCUCGUGUCGUGAGAUGUUGGGUUAAGUCCCGCAACGAGCGCAACCCUUGUUACUAGUUGCCAGCAUUAAGUUGGGCACUCUAGUGAGACUGCCGGUGACAAACCGGAGGAAGGUGGGGACGACGUCAGAUCAUCAUGCCCCUUAUGACCUGGGCUACACACGUGCUACAAUGGACGGUACAACGAGUCGCAAGCUCGCGAGAGUAAGCUAAUCUCUUAAAGCCGUUCUCAGUUCGGACUGUAGGCUGCAACUCGCCUACACGAAGUCGGAAUCGCUAGUAAUCGCGGAUCAGCAUGCCGCGGUGAAUACGUUCCCGGGCCUUGUACACACCGCCCGUCACACCAUGGGAGUUUGUAACGCCCAAAGUCGGUGGCCUAACCUUUAUGGAGGGAGCCGC
rnacentral:rRNA from 1 species